GGAAAGUUCUCUCUCUCACACGGGGGAAGACAAAGUGGGCUGGUUGACACAGCAGUCUGCAGAAGGCCAGAUUGACUCCGCCGCAGCGGCCCGUGCUGCGCCGCCACCAAGGAGGAGGAGGAGGAAGAGGAGGAGGAGGAAGAGGGCUCAUCGUCUGUCAGACAGUGGAUCUCAAGGGAGGCCAGACUGAAAGGAUCUGGUGGUUAUUGUGAAGAGAAGAACUCUGCUGGCGUGUAAUGCCAGCCGCUAUAAACUGCAUUGAAUAUUACCAUCAGUGUGCUGAAUCACAUCACACCACCAGCAGCAGGCCUCUGAGCGGCUCCGCAGCAACCUGCCCAUCAAACGCACCUAUGCCCGAACACACGGCCACCGUGCCGCGAGUCAGCCGGAUCCAUCAGUGUUGCUGACAGAAAGACAGCUCGUCUCUGGGCCUUAAUUGGCGGCACUGCAGCACCCUCUCCAGCGCAGGACUACUAUUCCUAAGCCCAGCGAGACCCAAGCACAACCUUCAGGAGACAGUGGAGACCCAAGCACAACCUUCAGGAGACAGUGGAGAGAGAUGCAGUGUACACA